GACGAACGCUGGCGGCGUGCUUAACACAUGCAAGUCGAACGGAAAGGCCCUGCUUUUGUGGGGUGCUCGAGUGGCGAACGGGUGAGUAACACGUGAGUAACCUGCCCUUGACUUUGGGAUAACUUCAGGAAACUGGGGCUAAUACCGGAUAGGAGCUCCUGCUGCAUGGUGGGGGUUGGAAAGUUUCGGCGGUUGGGGAUGGACUCGCGGCUUAUCAGCUUGUUGGUGGGGUAGUGGCUUACCAAGGCUUUGACGGGUAGCCGGCCUGAGAGGGUGACCGGCCACAUUGGGACUGAGAGACGGCCCAGACUCCUACGGGAGGCAGCAGUGGGGAAUAUUGCACAAUGGGCGGAAGCCUGAUGCAGCAACGCCGCGUGCGGGAUGACGGCCUGCGGGUUGGAAACCGCUUUCGCCUGUGACGAAGCGUGAGUGACGGUAAUGGGUAAAGAAGCACCGGCUAACUACGUG
rnacentral:rRNA from 1 species